AUUGAACGCUGGCGGCAGGCUUAACACAUGCAAGUCGAGCGAGCGGCGGACGGGUGAGUAAUGUCUGGGAAACUGCCUGAUGGAGGGGGAUAACUACUGGAAACGGUAGCUAAUACCGCAUACCAUCAGAUGUGCCCAGAUGGGAUUAGCUGGUAGGUGGGGUAAUGGCUCACCUAGGCGACGAUCCCUAGCGGGUCUGAGAGGAUGACCAGCAACACGGGAACUGAGACAGGGUCCAAAAUCCUAGGGAAGGCAGAGGUGGGGAAGAUUGCACAAUGGGGGAAAGCCUGAUGCAGCCAUGCCGGGUGUGUGAAGAGGGCCUUCGGGUUGUAAAGCAGUUUCAGCGAGGAGGCGUUACUCGAAGAAGAAGAACCGGCUAACUCCGUGCCAGCAGCCGCGGAAAUA
rnacentral:rRNA from 1 species